GUUUUCUUCUUCGUUAAAGUUUGCUAAAUAUUUUGGUUCAUUGCUCUCUCCAGGCCUUAAAUAUAUUAUUUAUGUUAAAUUAACUAUAUAGUUUCCCCUCUUGAACAAGUCUCAUUCUUGACUUUCUCAGUUGAAAGCCAAUAUAAGAUAAAAAUGUUUAUGAGAUAAAAUUAAAUAAUAUUAAAAAAUACCACUGGAAAACAGUUCCAACCAUGGGAUUAUGUGACCUGCUUCAAUGUUGAAACCCGUUUCCACUUUGAAACCCAUGUCCAUGACCUAAGAAGUACUAGCUCUUUGUUAAUCCCUGGUUGGAGUGUUAUCUCUCCUACUUUGGGAGGAAAAUCUUAGAUGAUACACAGGUAUUUUCAGAGCAAAUAUGAGGGAGGGCUGGAUAAAACUAAUAGAUUAUGAAUUGAAUUUGUAAU
rnacentral:lncRNA from 1 species